rnacentral:rRNA from 1 species
UACGUAGGGGGCAAGCGUUGUCCGGAUUUACUGGGCGUAAAGGGCGUGCAGGCGGUCUGUUUAGUCUGGGGUGAAAGCUCCCGGCUCAACUGGGAGAGGUCCUUGGAUACUGGCAGACUUGAGGGAGGCAGAGGAAAGUGGAAUUCCCGGUGUAGUGGUGAUAUGCGUAGAUAUCGGGAGGAACACCAGUGGCGAAGGCGGCUUUCUGGGCCUUACCUGACGCUGAGACGCGAAAGCGUGGGGAGCGAACAGG